GGUUGUUAAAGCAGAAAGGAAUCUGACUGCUGUUAUGGGGACUGCCCACAAAAUGUUUUGUGCAUGCGCAUCAUUACAGCGCUCCAUGCAUGUCCUGCAAUCAGCUUAACUGGCAGGCAGCUUUGCGUGCAUUCAUGCCAGACUGUCCUGCAAGUAUUUGUGGCAGACAUGCUCCCUUGGGAGGAGUCUAUGACACGAUUGUAUUACUAUUAUCCUAUUGGUGUCUCGUUUCUCGGAACACCAAUGUUGGGAGGAGGUGUGUGCUAGCCUAUGUGUCCAUCUGCCAUUGUAGUGCCAUGGUCUAAAUCAAAUAUUAGGUAGAUACGCACCCUGAUUGCUGCCAGCAUUCCUAGGCACGUAGACCCUGUUAAGUUGAAUGAGAAUGCCAUAGAGACGUCCUCAGUUCGAUUAAAUGAAGGAACUCACAGCUUACAUUGCUAAGGUCAAUUUCCCCAUGCACCUAUUACCCAAUUAAUUUUCAUUAAUUUAGUAAAAUGUCACUCGGGUGUUUUUUGCAG